UACGGAGGGUGCAAGCGUUAAUCGGAAUUACUGGGCGUAAAGCGUGCGCAGGCGGUUUGUUAAGUCUGUUGUGAAAUCCCCGAGCUCAACUUGGGAAAUGCAAUGGAUACUGGCAGGCUGGAGUAUGGUAGAGGAAGGUGGAAUUCCCGGUGUAGCAGUGAAAUGCGUAGAGAUCGGGAGGAACACCAGUGGCGAAGGCGGCCUUCUGGACCAAUACUGACGCUCAUGCACGAAAGCGUGGGGAGCAAACAGG
rnacentral:rRNA from 1 species